rnacentral:tRNA from 1 species
GCUUGGAGGGUAGUGCGGUAGUGCGUCUGCCUUGUAAGCACUAGGUUGCGGGUUCGAUUCCCGCCCGGGGCA